CUUGAGUGCUGACGGAAUAGGUUAUGCUUAGAGUACAUAGCUGUAUUAAAGUAUUGAUGAAGCCUUUACUUUUGCAGUGAAAUGCUCAUUGGGACACUAGCCCACCCCAUUAUAAUUAGAGCCCACAACCAUGUGUGGGGUUUGAGGGGACAUUAGGUUACAUUAAAAUUGACCCCACCUGAAACCAAUGGGUGGGGGUUGGGGCCAGAUAUUAGGUCCCCCACAUUUAAAAAGUAUCCC